rnacentral:rRNA from 1 species
UUUCGGCGUGCUUAACACAUGCAAGUCGAACGGAAAGGCCCUGCUUUUGUGGGGUGCUCGAGUGGCGAACGGGUGAGUAACACGUGAGUAACCUGCCCUUGACUUUGGGAUAACUUCAGGAAACUGGGGCUAAUACCGGAUAGGAGCUCCUGCUGCAUGGUGGGGGUUGGAAAGUUUCGGCGGUUGGGGAUGGACUCGCGGCUUAUCAGCUUGUUGGUGGGGUAGUGGCUUACCAAGGCUUUGACGGGUAGCCGGCCUGAGAGGGUGACCGGCCACAUUGGGACUGAGAUACGGCCCAGACUCCUACGGGAGGCAGCAGUGGGGAAUAUUGCACAAUGGGCGGAAGCCUGAUGCAGCAACGCCGCGUGCGGGAUGACGGCCUUCGGGUUGUAAACCGCUUUCGCCUGUGACGAAGCGUGAGUGACGGUAAUGGGUAAAGAAGCACCGGCUAACUACGUGCCAGCAGCCGCGGUGAUACGUAGGGUGCGAGCGUUGUCCGGAUUUAUUGGGCGUAAAGGGCUCGUAGGUGGUUGAUCGCGUCGGAAGUGUAAUCUUGGGGCUUAACCCUGAGCGUGCUUUCGAUACGGGUUGACUUGAGGAAGGUAGGGGAGAAUGGAAUUCCUGGUGGAGCGGUGGAAUGCGCAGAUAUCAGGAGGAACACCAGUGGCGAAGGCGGUUCUCUGGGCCUUUCCUGACGCUGAGGAGCGAAAGCGUGGGGAGCGAACAGGCUUAGAUACCCUGGUAGUCCACGCUGUAAACGGUGGGUACUAGGUGUGGGGUCCAUUCCACGGGUUCCGUGCCGUAGCUAACGCUUUAAGUACCCCGCCUGGGGAGUACGGCCGCAAGGCUAAAACUCAAAGGAAUUGACGGGGCCCCGCACAAGCGGCGGAGCAUGCGGAUUAAUUCGAUGCAACGCGUAGAACCUUACCUGGGUUUGACAUGGAUCGGGAGUGCUCAGAGAUGGGUGUGCCUCUUUUGGGGUCGGUUCACAGGUGGUGCAUGGCUGUCGUCAGCUCGUGUCGUGAGAUGUUGGGUUAAGUCCCGCAACGAGCGCAACCCUUGUUCACUGUUGCCAGCACGUUAUGGUGGGGACUCAGUGGAGACCGCCGGGGUCAACUCGGAGGAAGGUGGGGAUGACGUCAAGUCAUCAUGCCCCUUAUGUCCAGGGCUUCACGCAUGCUACAAUGGCUGGUACAGAGAGUGGCGAGCCUGUGAGGGUGAGCGAAUCUCGGAAAGCCGGUCUCAGUUCGGAUUGGGGUCUGCAACUCGACCUCAUGAAGUCGGAGUCGCUAGUAAUCGCAGAUCAGCAACGCUGCGGUGAAUACGUUCCCGGGGCUUGUACACACCGCCCGUCAAGUCAUGAAAGUUGGUAACACCCGAAGCCGGUGGCCUAACCGUUGUGGGGGAGCCGUCGAAGGUGGGACUGGUGAUUAGGA